rnacentral:rRNA from 1 species
UGGGGAAUAUUGGACAAUGGAGGAAACUCUGAUCCAGCAAUUCUGUGUGUGUGAAGAAGGUUUUAGGACUGUAAAACACUUUUAGUAGGGAAGAAAAAAAUGACGGUACCUACAGAAGAAGCAACGGCUAAAUACGUGCCAGCAGCCGCGGUAAUACGUAUGUUGCGAGCGUUAUCCGGAAUUAUUGGGCUUAAAGGGCAUCUAGGCGGUAAGACAAGUUGAAGGUGAAAACCUGUGACUCAACCAUAGGCUUGCCUACAAAACUGUUGAACUAGAGUACUGGAAAGGUGGGUGGAACUACACGAGUAGAGGUGAAAUUCGUAGAUAUGUGUAGGAAUGCCGAUGAUGAAGAUAACUCACUGGACAGAAACUGACGCUGAAGUGCGAAAGCUAGGGGAGCAAACAGG